rnacentral:tRNA from 1 species
AAAGGGAGACCUAAUUCAGGUAUAAGACGAAAAAAAAGUAGUCCCUACCAAGAAUCAAUCCCAAAAGGUCGGAACGAGGUAUGAGGCUUUCAAACUAGGUUCUGGGUUCAUAAAAGACCUGAAUCAGGAACAAGGGCUAUUAGCUCAGGUGGUUAGAGCGCACCCCUGAUAAGGGUGAGGUCCCUGGUUCGAGUCCAGGAUGGCCCACCUGCACAGGUGGCAAAAACAAGAGAAGCGAGGAAUCAGCACCUUAUCUUGUAUACAUAUAUAAGAGAGAAUGCUGGCUCUGAGUACAGAGUCCAGAGGAACCUUGAAAACUGCAUAGAGCUAGGUGAAAAAGCCAAAAAAGAAGACCGCAAG